rnacentral:rRNA from 1 species
GACUGGCGGACGGGUGAGUAAUGCCUAGGAAGUUGCCCAAUAGAGGGGGAUAACCAUUGGAAACGAUGGCUAAUACCGCAUAAUCUCCUUGGAGCAAAGCAGGGGACCGAAUGGCCUUGGGCUAUUGGAUAUGCCUAGGUGAGAUUAGCUUGUUGGUGAGGUAAUGGCUCACCAAGGCGACGAUCUCUAGCUGGUCUGAGAGGAUGAACAGCCACACUGGAACUGAGACACGGUCCAGACUCCUACGGGAGGCAGCAGUGGGGAAUAUUGCACAAUGGGCGGAAGCCUGAUGCAGCCAUGUCGCGUGUGUGAAGAAGGCCUUAGGGUUGUAAAGCACUUUCAACAGUAAGGAAGGAUGUGUGCUUAAUACGUAUAUAUUUUGACGUUAGCUGUAGAAGAAGCACCGGCUAACUCCGUGCCAGCAGCCGCGGUAAUACGGAGGGUGCGAGCGUUAAUCGGAAUUACUGGGCGUAAAGCGCAUGCAGGUGGUUCGAUAAGUCAGAUGUGAAAGCCCGGGGCUUAACCUCGGAACUGCAUUUGAAACUAUAGAGCUGGAGUACUGUAGAGGGGGGUGGAAUUUCAGGUGUAGCGGUGAAAUGCGUAGAGAUCUGAAGGAAUACCGGUGGCGAAGGCGGCCCCCUGGACAGAUACUGACACUCAGAUGCGAAAGCGUGGGGAGCAAACAGGAUUAGAUACCCUGGUAGUCCACGCUGUAAACGAUGUCUACUUGGAGGUUGUGGCCUUGAGCUGUGGCUUUCGUAGCUAACGCGUUAAGUAGACCGCCUGGGGAGUACGGUCGCAAGAUUAAAACUCAAAUGAAUUGACGGGGGCCCGCACAAGCGUGGAGCAUGUGGUUUAAUUCGAUGCAACGCGAAGAACCUUACCUACUUUUGACAUCCAAAGAAGCCAGUGGAGACAUUGGUGUGCCUUCGGGAACUUUGAGACAGGUGCUGCAUGGCUGUCGUCAGCUCGUGUUGUGAAAUGUUGGGUUAAGUCCCGCAACGAGCGCAACCCUUAUCCUUGUUUGCCAGCGAGUAGUGUCGGGAACUUCAGGGAGACUGCCGGUGAUAAACCGGAGGAAGGUGGGGACGACGUCAAGUCAUCAUGGCCCUUACAAGUAGGGCUACACACGUGCUACAAUGGCACAUACAGAGGGUUGCAAACUAGCGAUGGUAAGCGAAUCCCAAAAAGUGUGUCGUAGUCCGGAUUGGAGUCUGCAACUCGACUCCAUGAAGUCGGAAUCGCUAGUAAUCGUAGAUCAGAACGCUACGGUGAAUACGUUCCCGGGCCUUGUACACACCGCCCGUCACACCAUGGGAGUGGGCUGCAAAAGAAGUGGGUAGUUUAACUUUCGAGAGGACGCUCACCACUUUGUGGUUCAUGACUGGG